CUGGUUCGGCUCCUUGCGAUGAAGGUAAAGGCCUAAUCCAGUUGAGGUGAUAUUGCUAGGUUUCGAUGACCAAGGAGCGAAUACGCUUAACCUGGCUCUCGAUCUUUUGUUUUUUACCCUAAGCCGCCGCCGGGUCGUCCCCUUAUAUACACGGGUUCACGCCCUGCGGCCUACAGAAUCUCGGCCGGCUCAUACAACGUGUCCGGCUCAGUGACGUAUCUUACAUGCCUUACAUGCCUUACAUUACAAGUCUAUUCGUACAUGGCGGUUUAUACUUACGGGCCCUAAGCCGCCCCUGGGCCUGGGCCUAUCAUAAGCCUAACUGUGAACCACCACCUUGUAUACUCUUGGGCUUCAUACAGGUGAACCGUCAUUGUGGGCGGGUCAUAUCUGAUAGUCAUAUGCUCAUCAGGCAAUAUUAUGAGAGCUAUGAUAAAGGACAUAAAUUUGGCAACCAAAAGUGAGACAUAUGAAAAUAUGAGUUAUUUAAAGUGAUGUUGAUUUCUUUUUCACACCUCCCAAGCGAACUUGAUUUAAUUUAUUAUAUCUUGCAUGCUUAUCACUAGUAGAAAAAGGAUCAAACGUGAAGCACAUUAGUGCCGGUUUGAUUUUGGCCCGGUAAUAAUGGUACCAUUAGUGCCGGUUCGAACGGAUUUGCAUUAAUGCCGGUUCGUGUUGAACCUUUAGUACCGGUUCGUGGCACGAACCGGUACUAAAGGGGUGGUGGAAGGCUGGCGUCAGGCCGGGGCCCCACGAACACCUUUAGUACCGGUUCGUGCCAUGAACCCGUACUAAAGGGGUCUGACCUAUAGUACCGGUUUGUGNNNNNNNNNNNNNNNNNNNNNNNNNNNNNNNNNNNNNNNNNNNNNNNNNNNNNNNNNNNNNNNNNNNNNNNNNNNNNNNNNNNNNNNNNNNNNNNNNNNNNNNNNNNNNNNNNNNNNNNNNNNNNNNNNNNNNNNNNNNNNNNNNNNNNNNNNNNNNNNNNNNNNNNNNNNNNNNNNNNNNNNNNNNNNNNNNNNNNNNNNNNNNNNNNNNNNNNNNNNNNNNNNNNNNNNNNNNNNNNNNNNNNNNNNNNNNNNNNNNNNNNNNNNNNNNNNNNNNNNNNNNNNNNNNNNNNNNNNNNNNNNNNNNNNNNNNNNNNNCAUUUCAGUUCUGAAAAAAUCAAAAGAAAAUGAUAAAAACUUCAAAAAAUAAAAUCCUUCGAGAGGUAGUUAUAUUACUACAUAUACUAGUUAGGAAAAUUUGAAAACUUAAAUUUGGACAUGCUUUGCAAAAAGUGUAGGGAAAAUGUAAAACGGCUAUAAAUUUUGCAUACGAUGUCGGAAAAAACAUAUAAUAUAUCAAAAAUUUCAGCACGAAAAUCCGCAUCCGAUGGAGACAGCCUAUGGCCUGUUUGGAAUUUUUUAGAAUCCUCAAAUUCCAAAAGGAAAAAAAGAUAUGGUCAAAUUUCAAUUUGUUUAAAAAAAUUUGGUUAAAUCUAGUCAAAUUAAUUAUUCAAGAAGUAUUAAUGUUACUACAUAAUUAUUCAAGAAUAUUAGUUUUACUAAAUAAUUAUUUCAAUUUUUUGAAUUUUGGUCAAAUCUGGUCAAACUAUGGUCAAACUUAUUUAAGAAAUAUUAGCGUUACUAAAUAAUUACUGUUUUUUAGAAUAAUAGUUUCAAAUUCAAACGGUGAAAUGUGUGACUUCAUGCUCAAGCUAAACUCCUGAGGGUUAAUAGGAUUGACAUCUUACUAUUGUCAGGAAAACAACAAGUGCAGACUCGGAAACGAAGGAGAAUAGAACUCGAAAGUUAAGCGUGCUCGAGCUGGAGUAGUGAGAGGGAUGGGUGACCGGUCGGGAAGUUAGAUGAUUUGGAAUGAGUGAUCCACACUUGAGCAGUUAAGAGAGGUGAUUAGAGACUAAAUCAUUAAAUAAUUCAAAAAAAUAAAAAUAAAAAAAAUCCAAAAUUUUCAAAAAAAAUUUAAAAAAACUUUUAGUACCGGUUGGUAACACCAACCGGUACUAAAGGUCCCCCAUACCAAGGCGCGAGCUCACGCCACGUGAUGGCACUUUAGCGCCGGUUCAUGCCGAACCGGUACUAAAGGGGAGGGGGGCUUUAGUGCCCAUCCUUUAGUGCCGGUUAUGGAACCGGCACUAAAGGCCCUUACGAAUCGGCGCUAAAGCUCCGUUUUCUACUAGUGUAUGAAACCUGUGGAUUAUGUUACACUAGCUUUUUUGUCAAAAUUUUGGAAUAUUUGAAACAUGAUUUUCAAUUCAUUUCACCAGAUAUACUCUCUACCUUGUACUCCCUCCGUUCUUAAAUAUAAACCCUUUUAAAGAUUUCAAUAUGACUUAUAUAUGUACUAGCAAAAUGAGUGAAUCUACACUUUAAAAUAUGUUUAUCCGUAUUUAGUCCAUGUCCAUAUUGAAAUCUCUAAAGAGCUUAUAUUUAAAAACGGAAGGAGUAUCUUGUAAAGUUUAAAAGUUCAACACCAGGGCAAACUAAAUAUCGACAUGCUUGGGUGCAAAGCAAAGAUAACACUAUUUACCUAAUAAUCCUAGAAAACUAAGCGGAUGGCAUUGGCACCCUUGACCUAAUAUUCGCCGUCGUAGAGCCUCCGGCCGACCUCGAACGAUGCAAAGGCGUCGGCGCAAGCAUACUGCAGUUGGUCCCGCGUCAGCCGCGGCGCGUCCCAGGCGCUGACCCGCACGUGGUGCGGCUUCUCGGGCCACACGCCCAUCACCUGCAUGUUCGCGGCGAGGUAGCGCAGGUCCACCGCGUUCGUCACCUGCAGCCCGUAGUGAGCGCUGAGCUUCUGCGCGUCGCCGUAGACCCCGACGCCGACGAAGGUGAAGCGGCCGUCGGCGAGGAAGUCGAAGAGGGAGUCCGGGACGUAGUCGGCGCGGAGGAUCUGGAAGACGAGGCAGCGGCGGCCGACGCACAGCUGCAGCAGCGCGACGGGGCCCGGCGGGAGGCCGCGGAACGAGGGGCGCCACUCGACGUCGAGGCCGACGACGAGGCGGUCGAGGCGGCGGCGGUGGAUGCGGUAGACGAGGUCCAGCCACUCGUCGACGACGCCGCCGGAGGAGGUCAGGGUGGUGUGGACGUGGUCCUGGCCGAACGCCACGAUGCAGUGGCCGUCGCCGAAGUCCGUCACCAUGGAAGUCGCCAUCUCGAUCGUCCUCCCGAGGUUUCGAACUGCUGUUUGGUAUAGAUAGACUAGAUCAGAAAUCCAGAGUAGAUUUGUCUUGCUGGGUCUCGGCCGUAUAUAUUGUAGCGGUACGACGGUGCGUCUGUUUUUCUUUUCCUUUUCUUUAGGGGAGUUUUUCUUUUCCUUUUUGAGGCAACAAAAACGACGGUGCGUCUGUUUUUCUUUUCCUUUUUUGAGGGUAAUAGCUAAAUUUUAUUGAUCAAAAGCCACAAGAAGUGGGAUACAAAAAAUAUCAUGGGGUUGAAACCAAAUAUGGCACGAGCCCCUCGUCCAAAGAAUUCAAAAUUUUAGCUAGUCUAUCUGAACAACAAUGCUACAUUCACAAACUUAUUACUGGGUUUUACGAGUUCCUCNNNNNNNNNNNNNNNNNNNNNNNNNNNNNNNNNNNNNNNNNNNNNNNNNNNNNNNNNNNNNNNNNNNNNNNNNNNNNNNNNNNNNNNNNNNNNNNNNNNNNNNNNNNNNNNNNNNNNNNNNNNNNNNNNNNNNNNNNNNNNNNNNNNNNNNNNNNNNNNNNNNNNNNNNNNNNNNNNNNNNNNNNNNNNNNNNNNNNNNNNNNNNNNNNNAUGGAGAGAUUUUAUCGUUAGCCCCGUAACAGCUCCGUAGAAUGCCCGUGUGUUUAGCAUUUUUGCUAUCUGAAUCUGUGUUGGUUGCUCGGCCUUCGAAAAUGUAUUUGUACUUGAAGUUUGAUGCUCAAUGUUUGACCUCCUUGAUAAUGUGUCCAUAGGUACUGUCUGUUUCCUUCUCAAUGUCGCUUAUCACUUGUUUCGAGUCGGAGGCAACAACAAAAUUUUGAAGUAGCAAAUUCUCAACAAGAUACAAAGUUCGUGACAGGCGAUCGCUUCUACUGCUGCAACCUUCUUGACUCCAUGGAUGAUCGUGGUUAUCCAUUAAGCAGAGAAAAUAGUAAUAAAAAGAAAAAUGAUUAUGCUCCUUUAUCUUAAAAGAACAGACUAACAGGCUCAGCCACUUAGCCAACUUUAGUAAUUAAAUACUAUCAUUGUAUGGAUAACUCUUAUUGUGAAAAGACAUAUUUACUUUAUAAUGGAAAAGUAGAGCCAAAGAAUAUGAACUAUACAAGUUCGCAAUACCUUUUGACGAAAGAAAGGGUUCCUGUGUAUAAAAAGGGCCUCAUCAAAAGAACCAUAGAAACGAUGGAACCCACUGACGGUCUGUGUCUAUGCACACGGCUGCUGCGGAACCCUCCAAGCCGGAGCGAGCUAGGCUGGCAUCUACAUUUUUUUUUAGAAUCUCACAAAGCUUUAUUACUGAAUCAUAAUGUUCAUAGGUACAAAAAGAAGAUCGCCGGGUUGUCCUAGCCAAGUGUGUCGGCCAAACCCUAAAGAUAACGCAUGCUUUGCGAGAUUAUGGGCCUCCGUAUUGGAGGUCCUAUACUCAUGAGUAAACGAACAUGAAAUAAAGGUAGUUGCUCUAGUCUUGAUUUCCUCGACAAUGGCUCCAAAUUCUGCUGAGCUUCCCUGUCUGAUUGCAUCUACCACCACCUUGCAAUCGGAGGCAACAAGUAAAUGGUUGAUAUAGAGAUCUUCUGAAAGUGCUAAUGCCUCCCGAACAGCUAGUGCUUCUAGCACUUGGGGGUUGUGCAGUCCUCUGAAAACGAGAGCUGGCGCUCCCAUGAACAAACCUCUCUCAUCCCUGCAAACCACACCAACUGUGCCAAACGUACCUGGGCGUGACACGGCCGCGUCCACAUUGAGUUUGUAGUAAUCUGUUGGUGGUGGAAUCCACGUACGGGGUCGUGGUACUGCUAUCCCAUGUGCUUCCUCCUUCUUCUUCUUCAAAAACUCUAUGUCUGAUAAGUAAGCUUUGAUGAAGUUGUCAGUGGCAAACGGAGUCUGGUAUAUAUCCUCAUGUAUAGCUUUCCGUCUUGCACUCCAAAUCGCCCAUAAAGUAACAAUCAUCAACUGAAAUUGCUCCGGUGGAAGAGAGUCAUUCAUGGCAAAGAGCCACAGCCGUGCGUCAGGUUCUGAGGUUGCCCACAUGUGCUCGACCAUCUCUGCUUCUGAAAGUGCCCACACACACCUAGACACAUUACACUCCAGCAAAGAAUGCCGCCAGCUAUCCUGCCCUCCGCAUAGGGAGCAAGCACUCGUAGUGGCCAUAUGACGAUGGUUUAGGACAUCUCCCGUAGGGAGUGAGUGUUGCGCCAAUCGCCAAGUGAAAAAGCGCAGUUUCGGUGGCACUGACAUGUUCCAUAGCGAGUUCCACCCCCUCAUCUCAUGUUCAGAGUUGGAAGGAUCCUCCCUUUCCUCCAGCCAUGCCUCGCGCCCAAUCUUGAUCUUGACAAUCAUCUUAUAAGCUGACCGUACAGAAAAACGCCCCCUUGGAUCAUCAUUCCAUGCCCAGAAAUCGUCCACACGCCGUGUACAGAGCGGUAUUUGCAAGAUCGCCUCCACAUCAAUGGGUAUGAACACCUGUCUAAGCAAGUCCUCUCGCCAUGCAGCUCUAGUGUGGUCGAUCAGAUCAGAAACCAGUUGCGGUGGGUCAGCAACUAAGGAGGCCACCGGCUUCAUCAUUCCGUCCCUUGGGAUCCAACUAUGUUGCCAUAUGUUCGUGGUAGUUCCAUCACCAAUACGCCGGAUAGCUCCUUGGGUGAUAAUAUCUCUCCCAUCAAGUAUAGAUCGCCACACCUGAGAAGGAUGUGGACCUAGUUGAGCUUCAAGGACUGUACAUUGUGGAAAAUAUGAUGCUUUAAGGAUUUGUGCACUAAGAGAGGAGGGAUCAUUCAAUAAUCUCCAAAUUUGCCGAGACAAAAGUGCCAAGUUGAAGAUUUCUAUAUCCCGAAAGCCAAGUCCUCCCAAACUUUUCGGUCGGGUCAUCAAAUCCCAAGCUACUCAACAUGGUUUCCUCUUGCCUCUCUUGCUCCCCCACCAAAAUUGACGAAUGAGUGACGUAAUGCUUCCACAAAGGCCUCGAGGUAAUCUGAAGCAAGACAUCGAAAAAACUGGUAAAGCUUGAGCCACAGAUUUUAUGAGAACCUCCUUUCCUGCCACUGAUAAAAGUUUCUCCAUCCAUCCCUUUAUCCUUUCCCAAACUCUGUCUCGUAAAUAUUUGAAGGUGCCAUUUUUGGACUGUCCAACAUCGGUCGGCAGACCCAAAUACUUUUCACUCAAAGACUCAUUCUGCACAUUAAGUAUAUUCUUUAUCUCCACCCUAAGGGUCUCCGGGCAUCCCUUACUGAAAAAUAUGGACGAUUUAUCAUAGUUUACCCUUUGGCCCGAAGCCAAGCAAUAUGCAUCAAGUAGGUUUGAAACCUCAUUUGCCCCCUGGACACUAGACUUGAAAAGCAGCAGGCUGUCAUCUGCAAACAAAAGGUGGUUCACUACCGGAGCCGUGGGCGCCACCUUUAUGCCACCGAGCACUAAUGACUGAGAACUAUGUUUUAAAAGGCACGAAAGGCCCUCUGCUGCAAUCAAGAAUAAGUAAGGGGAAAUAGGAUCUCCCUGCCUGAUACCCCUGGAAGGUGAGAAGCUCUCUAAUCUUUCUCCAUUAAACAAGACCGAGAAUGAAACAGAAGUGAUCAUGCUCAUAACUGUAUGGAUCCAAUCUGGUGCAAAGCCAAGCUUAACCAUAAUUGCCUUUAGAUAAGGCCACUCUAGUCUGUCAUAUGCCUUCAUCAUAUCAAGCUUAAGUGCACAAAAGCUGUUUGUCUUGGAUCUGUUUCUCUUCAUGAAGUGCAAACAUUCAUACGCACAAAUAAUAUUAUCCGUGAUCAACCUCCCGGGAACAAAGGCUGAUUGCUCCUUUGAGAUAAUAUCUGGAAAUAUCAACUUCAAUCUAUUCGACACCACUUUAGAAGCUAUUUUAUAAAUCACAUUGCAAAGGCUGAUAGGCCUAAACUGGGUAAGUAGAGUGGGAUUUUGUACCUUGGGUAUCAACACGAGUACCGUAUCAUUAAUGUUUGCAGCAGUCUCCUCUCCACGGACGAUCCGAAGCACCACUUUAGUUACUUCAUCCCCACAAAUGUCCCAGUGGCGCUGAUAGAAGUGUGCAGGAAAACCAUCUGGCCCCGGUGCCUCCGUAGGAAACAUCUGAAACAGGGCCUGCUUUACUUCCUCAUUUGUGUAAGGAGCGCAAAGCGAAGCAUUCAUCUCUGGUGUCACUUUCCGAGGCACAUGUUGUAAUACAUCAUCUACCCCCUGUACACCUUCCGUCGUGUACAAGGUUUUAUAGAAAUCUGUCACAAGUUGUUUCAUCUCAGCCUUGUCCUCUACUCUUAUACCCAGCGCAUUGUGUAGAGCUCGAAUCAUAUUCUUCCUACGCCGCAUAUUUGCUCUCAUGUGAAAAAAUUUUGUGUUGCGAUCACCCGCAGUCAGCCACUGUAUGCGCGAUCUUUGUCUCCACAUUAACUCCUCCCUAUGAUAGAGCUCAACCAGUCGUUCAUUCAACUUUUGCUCAAGGUGAUUUGGAGCAGUCCUAGACGGAACACUCCGAAGCCUCUCUAACUCCGCUUUUGCCUUCUUGAUCUCCUUCCUAACACUUCCAAAAGUUGCAUCCUCCCAUGCCGAGAGGUUCUUUGACAGAAGCUCCAAUUUUCUGCGAAUCCCCUCAACUCCUUGAUCCGCUUGCAGUUCGCUCCAUCCUGAGCUGAUAGUGUCACGUCAUGAUUCAUGUGACUCCCACAUCACUUCGUACCGGAAGCUCGGUUUAGGGCGUGGUAAAACCUCUUCAAACUGUACGAGUAUUGGUCCAUGAUCCGAGGACGCCGAAGUUAAGUUUGUAACCUUGGCCAUAGGGAAAAGCGCCGCCCAAUCAGCUGUGGCCAUCGCUCUGUCAAGCCUCACGCGGGUGUAGGAUCCCCCGGUCACUUUUUUCUCAAAGGUCCAAAAUCUGCCAUGAUAGCCCAAGUCCAUCAACAUGCAAACGUCAACCGCAUCCCGGAAACCUUGUAUUUGUGCAUUACUCCGAUUAGCAGCUCCCUCAUGUUCAUCCGGACGUAAAACUUCGUUAAAAUCGCCCAAACACAGCCAAGGGAGGUUGCUAAAAGACGCCAACCCCUUUAGGAGAUCCCAUGUUUGGUGUCUCAGUUGUGUCUGGGCCUCGCCAUACACGCAUGUCAACCUCCAUGGGUCUUUCCCUUCCUCUACCACCUUUGCAUCAAUAUGAUAAACAGAAUCACCCAAGAUCUCAACAUUUAUUGUAUUAUUCCAAAAAAUCCCUAUUCCUCCACUUCUUCCUUGACUAUCUAUCGCAUAGGCAUUAUCAUAGCCCAAAGUGUUAGCUAAAGCUUCUACACGUGCACCCUUUACUUGAGUUUCAACAAUACACAACACGGUAGGGGUAAAUUUCUUUGCAAAGUCGCGAAGCUCACGAACUGUCGCGGCUUUACCCGCGCCGCGACAGUUCCAACAAAAUGAACUCAUUGCGUCCGGCGGCACUCCUCGGAGGAGCCCGCCGAUCCAUCAUACUGGUCCUUGCCACGUUCCACUCCAUCUGUCACCAUACUCGGUGUCCCUGCAUCAGACAGCUCCUUAAACAGGGCUCCUUUAUUGCCAACAUCUUUCUUCCGUCGCUUCACCUCUUUCCUUGGAGACACAUAUACAGGCGGCAUCGGUGGAACACCGUCCGGCUUUCCAGAGAUUACAAGAGCUGUAGAGCUCACUGGGACCACGUCCCCUUCUCCAUCAUCGCUCGACUGAACUGUCUCUGGAUGGUUCUUGUCCGAAGAUUGCCUCUUGUUACUUGCCACCACUACCCCCAGCGUUGCAGCAGUCGGUUCCUCGAUCAUACCCUUGGGCUCGCUUGGCCCCGAUACUUCUGUGGUCAUUGCAUUGUCCUCUCCUUCAUCCUGCCUCCCCGCCUCCCUGCGAGGUUCAUUCUGAUAUGCAUUGAAGCGCCAACUUUAUUGGGGUUAUACUGCUCUCGCCCCCUACCUCUUCCUCCUGCAUUCCUUGGGCCGCCUCGUCCCCUCUGGUUACCAAAACCACCUCUGCCAGGUUGCCUGAAGCGAAUAUUGUCAGCCAGAACAAAUUCACCCCACUCAAACUUUGUCUCAUCAUGAACACCAUCACCACACUCCUCGUGCCAAUGCCCGCAUUCACCACAGUUAAAGCAAAAGACAGGUAAUUUCUCGUAUUUUACUUGAUAUCUAACUCGUUCAUCCCCCUUCUUUCCAGUGACAAACCUCUUAAUUUUUGCGUUGAUAUCGAUUUUCACCCUCACCCGGACAAAUUCACCAAAGAAACCUGCCGGUAGCUUGAGCUGCACUUCUUCCACCUCGCCAAUUCGCGAUGCCAUCCCCCUGACUGCAGGCUCGAUCAAAAAGUUGUCAGGUAAACGAUGGAUUUGCGCCCAAACUACCAACUUAUCCAACUUGAUGCUAUCAGGGUUUUUGAACCCAUCAUACUCCACCAAAAUCACUGCUUGGUCUCUAAAAAGCCAUGGCCCCUCUAGCAUGGCCUUAUUCCAAUCCCCUAGACAACCAAACUGCGCUGUGAACAAGUUGUCCUUCACCUUCCUCCAGACCACCGUUUUCGCUGGAUUCCAGGCUGCACGCAUGUCCCCAUAAAGAGCAUUAGGGCUGAAAGUCCUUGUAGUGUGUACCCUGGCUAUGGCUAGCCACUUCGCCGGCGCCCCCAGAUCCGGCAACUCCUCCUCCCACACGAAAUCAUCAUCUUCCUCCUCCUGCAAAUUCAACCUGGCUAGCAGCUCCUCCGUCGUAUCCUUGCCAUGCCGCCCCUUCGAGCUUGAUCCCGACGCCAUGAACCGAGCAGUCUAGUCGCCGCCAACGAAAACCCUAGAUCGAUCUGCCGGAGAAACCACUAUAACCAAGGCCGGGUAAGGUCACGAGGGGCCUCCCUUGAUCAGCCCGAGUCCAGGGGAUCACCAGCAGGUUCGAUCGGGGAAAAGAAGGUAAGAUCCGGCCGCGGCGCCGGAGUACGUCGAAACCCUAGGCUAUCGCCGUCGGGGAGAGAAAACUCGCCGAGAGAAAACGACUCACGGACUCGCCCCUAUUAUCUGGAUGGAUGGAUGGAUAAUCUGGACUGGUGAAGGCGAGGGGAACCUCACGCAUCGACUCGCGGGAUCCAUCCAGGAACGCACGCAUGCAUCGCCAUCAUGUGGCUGGCAUCUACAUGAAUCUUCGUAGAUUACAUAGGUGGCCCACUUCGUGCUUUUUUGAUGGAAAAGCCCAAGUCCAAGCCCAAUUGAUUGGCAUAGUAUGGUAUGGCGCGAAUAGUAGCGUCGUGAUUCGAUUCUCAAAAAUAAAAAGUAGCGUCGUGAUUCGUGAGACGCAUCGAACGACCGAUUCGUGAGACACGGCCAACUCCUAGUAGCUACUCAAACUCGCCUCGCCUUCUUCCUUGAACUCGAUCAAGCCUGGGGAGCUCGUCGACGGCGUGCACCAGUCCAGCCUCGCCACGAACUCGAUCAGCAGGGACGUGAACGUGGUCAGCGACAGCGCCUCCGUGUUCUCCACGGCGCGCAUCCUCUUGGACACAGGCCACCGCGCCCUCCUCCAGAUCGUCCGUCUCAGCUGCAGCAUGCUUUGGUCGGCUGGUGAAACAAAUCGAUUCACUUACCAGCGAAUCAAUCCUGCAUCUCGAUUGCCGGUUCCCCAGAAAGACCGCCGUCGGUGGCAGCUGACGCAGUCUAAACUGAUCAAGAAUAGUACAUCUUCAGAGAUGAGUACAGCUUGUAUAACCUGGUGCGUUUUGUCACCAUUCAACGGUGGUCUCCAACACAGUUGAUCGCACUAUCACGAUCAAUUUUGAUCCACUGCCCCACUGGUGGGCCCUAUCCAUGACCCGGCAAGAGAGCUGCAUGAUGUCGAGGAAGAUCGAGAAGUGCCAAGUCCCCUCUAAUCCUUCUCAUAGCAGUGGCAGGAUCUAGUUGAUCUUGAUCAUGAACCCAGCGAUUCCUGGAGUACCAUAUAGUGCACAUCACUCUGACUAUUUUUGCUCGUUCCUGCAGACUUAAUCCCUAACUAGAUCAUGAACUAGAGAAAAGACAAGCACGUUGACAUUUGUCAGGGAGUACGUAGUACUAUGCAGACUGCAGACUUAGGCCAACUCCACCGCGCGACUCCAAACGGACGUCCGUUUUAUCCGGAUUCUGUCCGUUUGGGUAGGGAUUUGGGAUGGUGUCCGGACAUGACCUGAGAUGCGGUGGCCGUGCGCCCAGCGCGCGGCCGCAUCCAUUUGCCUCAUCAUGUCCGUGCCUAUUUAAAAAACCAAAAGAACGUUUCAAAUGCCAAGCCCUAGUUCAGGCUAGCGGCCCCGGUUCAUCACGCCGGUAACAGAGCCAGCGGCCUACACGUCCAUCGCCGGCAUCAGCCAGCGGCCGGCAACACAGCCAGCCCCUAAAAUGAAUAGUUGUCCUCGCCAGCAACACAGCCAGCGGCCGGCAACACAGCCGGCCACCAAAAUAAAUGUUUUCUCGCCGGCACACAGCCAGCGGUCUAGCGGGCGGGCGGCACCCAUGCCAGCCUCCAAAAAGAACGGCCACGGGCGAUCGGAUGACCUAGUUCAGGCCUUCGGCGUCGAGCAUCUCCUUCUGCUUGGCCUCGAACCAGGCCCUCGUCUUGUCGCUCAUCUUCGACAAGUCCACGCUCAUGACCGCAAGGGCCACCUCCUUCGCUUUUGUGGCGGCAUUCGUGGCCUCGAUGUCGAGCUGCCUCUGCCUGGCCUUGACGUUGUCGGCCUCGAUGUCGAGUUGCCUUUGUCGGGCCGCCUCCUCGAUGUCGAGCUGCCUUUGUCGGGCCGCCUCCUCCAUGUCGAGCUGCCUUUGCCAGGCCGCCUCCUCCAUGUCGAUCUUCCUCCUCUUGGCCGCCUCCUCCAUCUCAAGUUUCUUUCUUUGAAGGUCUAGGUAUUGCUUCAUUUGCUCCUCCUUGCUUUGCCGCUUCUUCUCGUCCCUCACAUCCUUUUGGGACAUCAUGUUAUGCAAAAGUGUCAUGCAAUGCCAUGGAUGAGGCAUCACGUAUGUCAUCAACCUUGGAGUUGAUCUUGCCCCUCGGCCUCUUCAACGCCUCGCCAUCUCCACCUCCGGCGAACUUGGCCGUCUUUAGUCCUCUCUUUCUUUGUAGUUCACGGUAUUGGUCCUUGAACUUAGGGGCAAUUGUUGAUGAUCGUCCAACAAUGCGUAAGAGUGAAUGGCUUGUCAUUGUGCCGGGCCUUGAAUGCCUCCAAAGAUUGAAAUGUCAAAACCACAUGAUCAACAAGAAGUGAACAUGCAAACAUAUACACGGCCGAAGUCUCAUGGCCGUAGCAAGGAAAGGGCUAGGAAGAGGAUAGCAUAUCAUGUCCCCAACGCCGAGACCACUCACGGGUCGUGCUUCAACGCUCUCAAAUGUGGUGCAAUACUUGUUGCACUUUUGUUGGAUGAACAACCAUCUCUUUUGAAUCGAGCCGAUGCCACGGUUGCUUGUAAAUUGGUAGGGCUCAAACAUCUUCCUUUCAUGAAAUGUUUUGUGGACUCUCGUCCAAAAAACAAUGCCCUUUUGUUGCGCGCUGGUCUUCGGAUCUUGGCUAAUCUCCAUCCAAGCUUGGCAAAUCAACUUGUCCUCAUCUUGUGUGUAUGAAACCGUGCAAAUGCUCUUCCUCUUCUUUUGUGCUUCCGCUCUUUGGAUGAGCUCGUCGAUGAACAAUGGCUCGCCACUAAUAUCAACGCCAUUGCCUUCUUCUUCAUCACCAUCACCUUCGACAUAGAUGUCAUCGUCUUCAUGCCACGAGUCACCAUGGUCGUAGUCAGCACGGUCGUCGGCCUCUUCAUCGGGCACGUACUGGGCGCGGCCAUCCUGACUUUGGGUCUCCUCGGGGUCGUAGGCACGGCCAUGCCCACCCUCGAAGAUCACGUCCUCCAUGUACUGGUUAUAGAAGGGGUCGUCGACCAUUGGCGUCGGUGUUGGCAUUCCGUCAAACAAGACGCGGGGGGGCGACAUGGUGCCCGUGAACGGUGCCCGUGCUUGCUUCCUUUGCAUCUCGACGGACGCCCGGCCGCCGCUGCUGGACCCAGGCGUGACGUUGAGGUCGAUGAUGGCCGCGGGGCGCGGUAUGGACGGGGCGAACAAGCCCACGUCCGGCGACCCCGAGAAAUGGGUCUGGCUGUCGUGCCUUGGCGGAGGAAAGCCGGGCGACAUGGGCGCGGUCCGCGACGUCGGCGACUGGCAGUGCGGAGGCCGGGCGACCGACGAGCCUGUGCUCGCGGGGCCGGCGGCCGCUGCAGGGAACCCGGCCGGACGGCCCAUGCCAAGCAUGAGAAGGGCGUGCGCUUUGUUGACGAGGUCCUCCUUCUCGUCGACCGCGGCCUUGCGCCGCGCGGCCUCCAUCGCAUCGCGCUGGGCGGCGAACUUGGCCACGGCGGCAUUGACCUUGACGACCGCUCUCCGCUUCCUCCUCUUCGCCAAUUCCGCGUCCAACUUGGCGAUCUCCUCCGGCGUGCACUCCGACCGCGGCUUCCUUGGCGCCUUGGCCGCCUUCUUCUUCACCUUUGUGGGCGGGUCGACGGCCAGGCCCUCGGAAUUCGACGGGGCGUCGGCCAUGGACGGGGGAGAGAGGGGGUGGGCGGGAGGGACGUGGGAGGGUUUGUAGAAAAUGGCGCCAAAUAGGGCGUGGGGGGUUUCGGUUUCUCCCACCGACAGGCAGGCCAGGGGAGGACAAGCGCGCGUCCCACUCGUCCGCACGUUGUUCGUUUCACCCCAAAACCGGCGCAAACUUGGGCCGCGGAUAGAUCGAAAGCGGACACAAAGCGAACAAAUGUCCGUUUGCGGUCACGCGCUGGGCCGUCUGGUUUGUCCGUUUUACCCCAAACGAAUGGGGGCAAACAAGAUAGGGUCGCGCGGUGGAGUUGGCCUUAGUGCCUGUUCGGGAAUACUCCGCUCCACGCUCCACUCCAGAAGCGGACGGAGCUGUAGUACAAAAUCAGGGAGCAAGCAAAUCGCCGCUCCGCAGAUUCUAGAAGUUGAUGAAUUCCCGAACGGGGCCUUAAUCCCCAAGGAGUCAUUGGUUGUCAGUAGCAAUGCAAGUGGAAGUUUAUUUUGAGAUGCGCUAAGCCUAAUUAUUCCCAGGCUGUGCAUUCUGCAGAGUGCGGACUGCAGUGUUAAAUCUAUAAACCGUGUCAAUUUAACACAGGGGCUUCUCUUGGAUUUGUUUCCCACGUGAAUAAUCAUCAAGAACAAGUAUAACAGCAGCAGGAACAUAUUCUGGCAUUGUUCAGAGCUUGGAAUUUGGGUUUCUAAGAAUUCGAGGUUUGGACUUUGAAGGACUCCCAGACGUACGGUUGUUUCCUGUCAUUUUGUUCCCGCUAGCGAAGGUUAGAGAACUAGAGAAAAGAACCAGCGUCUCUUACUUUGAUGCCACCAGGGAGAGAAAAAUGGUGUCUUUUGCCUUUUGGGACACGAGGUAUGGGGGGCGUGAACCCGCAUUUGACACUGGUGACAAUUAUACGAGUCAACUGGGCGACAGAAAUCAGUGAUCGACGAGUCCCAGUAUGGCAUUGACUCAGAUCCCAACAGUUCCCCGCCCCCAGUACAUUGAUUCAAGUCGAUCCUAGCCGAACAGGCAUGAUACUACCAAAGGACUACGGCAAGUUUAAACAGCGAUCUUGCAACGUCAGAAUAACUGCGGCAUUCUUAGAUUUCAAACAUGAGACACCGACCUACGGCAAUUAGUAAACCAUCUUAUUCACCACCUAACAUAGCUGCUCACAGUGAACGCCUAGGGACCGAAGAAUUCUUCAGGAACGUGAAACUUCAG
rnacentral:lncRNA from 1 species